UACGGGGGGGGCAAGCGUUGUUCGGAAUUACUGGGCGUAAAGGGCUCGUAGGUGGCCAACUAAGUCAUACGUGAAAUCCCUCGGCUUAACCGGGGAACUGCGUCUGAUACUGGAUGGCUCGAGUUUGGGAGAGGGAUGCGGAAUUCCAGGUGUAGCGGUGAAAUGCGUAGAUAUCUGGAGGAACACCGGUGGCGAAGGCGGCAUCCUGGACCAACACUGACGCUGAGGAGCGAAAGCCAGGGGAGCAAACGGG
rnacentral:rRNA from 1 species